rnacentral:rRNA from 1 species
AGAGUUUGAUCAUGGCUCAGGAUGAACGCUGGCGGUAUGCCUAACACAUGCAAGUCGUACGAGAGUUUUUAACUCUAGUGGCGGACGGGUGAGUAACACGUAAGAAUUUACCUUCAGGAGGGGGAUAACAAUUGGAAACAAAUGCUAAUACCCCAUAUGCUUUCGAGUGAAAUGGAUUUAUAUUUAUCCNCCUAAAGAGAAGCUUGCGUCUGAUUAGCUUGUUGGUAAGGUAAAAGCUUACCAAGGCGACGAUCAGUAUCUGGUUUGAGAGGACGAUCAGACACACUGGAACUGAGACACGGUCCAGACUCCUACGGGAGGCAGCAGUGGGGAAUUUUCCGCAAUGGGCGAAAGCCUGACGGAGCAAUACCGCG